GAUGAAGAACGUAGCGAAAUGCGAUAAGUAAUGUGAAUUGCAGAAUUCAGUGAAUCAUCGAAUCUUUGAACGCACAUUGCGCCCGCCAGUAUUCUGGCGGGCAUGCCUGUUCGAGCGUCAUUUCAACCAUCAAGCCCCCGGCUUGUGUUGGGGACCUGCGGCUGCCGCAGGCCCUGAAAACCAGUGGCGGGCUCGCUAGUCACUCCGAGCGUAGUAAUACAUCUCGCUCAGGGCGUGCUGCGGGUUCCGGCCGUUAAAAAGCCUUAUUUACCCAAGGUUGACCUCGGAUCAGGUAGGAAGACCCGCUGAACUUAAGCAUAUCAAUAAGCGGAGA
rnacentral:misc_RNA from 1 species